rnacentral:rRNA from 1 species
AUUGAACGCUGGCGGCAUGCCUUACACAUGCAAGUCGAACGGUAGGGGGAGCAAUCCCCUGAGAGUGGCGAACGGGUGAGUAAAGCAUCGGAACGUGCCCAGUUGUGGGGGAUAACUACUCGAAAGAGUGGCUAAUACCGCAUACGACCUGAGGGUGAAAGCGGGGGACCGAAAGGCCUCGCGCAGUUGGAGCGGCCGAUGUCAGAUUAGCUAGUUGGGGGGGUAAAGGCCCACCAAGGCGACGAUCUGUAGCUGGUCUGAGAGGACGACCAGCCACACUGGGACUGAGACACGGCCCAGACUCCUACGGGAGGCAGCAGUGGGGAAUUUUGGACAAUGGGCGCAAGCCUGAUCCAGCAAUGCCGCGUGCAGGAUGAAGGCCUUCGGGUUGUAAACUGCUUUUGUACGGAACGAAAAGCCCUGGAUUAAUACCCUGGGGUCAUGACGGUACCGUAAGAAUAAGCACCGGCUAACUACGUGCCAGCAGCCGCGGUAACAC